AUCCAGCUGACGAGUCCCAAAUAUGACGAUACGCGCGACCUGGAU
rfam:Schistosoma haematobium scaffold188_17, whole genome shotgun sequence.